rnacentral:ncRNA from 1 species
CAAAUUCACCAGGGGUGCUUUGUUCCUCAAAGCUGAGAAACACCCUUAGAACCUGCACUGGGUAAUGCCUGCGGAGGGAGAGUGAGCUUGAUUAGCC